GAAAUGCGAUAAGUAAUGUGAAUUGCAGAAUUCAGUGAAUCAUCGAAUCUUUGAACGCACAUUGCGCCCGCCAGCAUUCUGGCGGGCAUGCCUGUUCGAGCGUCAUUUCAACCCUCGAGCCCGACUCUUUUGAGGACGGCUCGGCGUUGGGGGACGGCAGACUCCCCCCGGCAUCUCGCCGGGGACGCCGCCCCCGAAAUCUAGUGGCGGCCCUCCGAGGCGACCUCUGCGUAGUAACUUGUUCUCGCACCGGAAAGCUCAGAGCGGCCACGCCGUAAAACCCCAACUUUUUUCAGGUUGACCUCGAAUCAGGUAGGACUACCCGCUGAACUUAA
rnacentral:misc_RNA from 1 species